ACUGGGGCUAAUACCUCAUAGGAGACGGGUGCUGGAAUGCUCUGUCUCUGAAAGGUCCGCCGUCUGAGGAUGAGUCUGCGGCCGAUUAGGUUGUUGUUGGGGUAACGGCCCAACAAGCCAUUGAUCGGUACGGGUUGUGGGAGCAAGAGCCCGGAGAUGGAUUCUGAGACAUGAAUCCAGGCCCUACGGGGCGCAGCAGGCGCGAAAACUUUACAAUGCGAGCAAUCGUGAUAAGGAAACCCUGAGUGCCUGUCAAUGCAGGCUGUUCUGGUGUCUAACACCCACCAGGAGAAAGGGCGGGGCAAGACCGGUGCCAGCCGCCGCGGUAAUACCGGCUGCUCGAGUGAUAGCCGCUUUUACUGGGCUUAAAGCGUUCGUAGCUUGGUCGUUAAGUCUCUGGGGAAAUCUUCUGGCUCAACCAGAAGGCGUCUCAGGGAAACUGGCGAUCUAGGAACCGGGAGAGGUGAGACGUACUUCGGGGGUAGGAGUGAAAUCUUGUAAUCCCCGAGGGACGACCGAUGGCGAAGGCAUCUCACCAGAACGGCUUCGACAGUGAGGGACGAAAGCUGGGGGAGCAAACCGGAUUAGAUACCCGGGUAGUCCCAGCCGUAAACGAUGUGCGUUAGGUGUGUCGGUGACCACGAGUCGCCGAGGUGCCGAAGGGAAACCGUGAAACGCACCGCCUGGGAAGUACGGUCGCAAGGCUGAAACUUAGAGGAAUUGGCGGGGGAGCACCACAACGGGUGGAGCCUGCGGUUUAAUUGGAUCAAACCCCCGGAAAUCACUAGUGCGGCCGCCUGCAGGUCGACCAUAUGGGAGAGCUCCCAACGCGUUGGAUGCAUAGCUUGAGUAUUCUAUAGUGUCACCUAAAUAGCUUGGCGUAAUCAUGGUCAUAGCUGUUUCCUGAC
rnacentral:rRNA from 1 species